GCGCCCAUGGAGUAGUUGGCCAACUCGUUCCUCCUGCCUGGGUGGGGUGAAAGGGUUGGAAAUACCCGGGUUCGAAUCCCGGUGGGCGUC